CUUUAGUUCAUUACAGGCCAGCCCGCGGAGUUGGAAAUCUUCUACAUUUUUUAUGCUAAAGAUUUCUUGACGUCUUCAAAAUGUCGUACACCAUGCUUACACUAAAUCGACUUCAUCAUAGAGCCUUUCAUCUCCAAGAGAUCUACCCUUCAACAAGUAGAUGACCAAGACUUGCCUGAGAUAUUGGAACUGCAGUCCCCAUAUUGGUUCUGCUGGAUACAAGAAAUGUUUGAAGCUCUUAACUCCUGCGGCGAACAAUAACACCCCUGUACCAGAGGACAU